rnacentral:lncRNA from 1 species
GAAACUAAAGUCUAAACUAAAACUAAGCUAAGCUCCUCACCCCCCUGUUCCCGUUUCGAAUUAAAUUCCUCCCUUCCCAAAUCGUCCCAGCCCUAGAACUCUGUACUCCCGCCCGGCCGCCCCACUCCUGAAAUCAUUCCAGUCUCUGCGCGGCUGCGCCCCUCACCUGGCCCACUCCAAAAAUUCGCCUGUUGAAUCUCACUCCCUCCGCUGCACCGACGGCGAGACUCCAGUCCAGACGCCUCACGCCGCAGCUGAACCUCCAACCCCGGCGCCCCGCUGCAGCAGCUGCGUCUCCUCCGGCCUCCUUCUAGCUCUGGCAAGUAUGUUUGGAUGCAAUAAUUAUUGACAUUUCUGGACAAGCAUUUUGGGCAUCUAUAUUGGUCAGAAAAUGUCGAAAAAAACUGACUUUAUAUAAUGCCAAUUUCUCCUUUCAUUGUUGAUUAGAUCCAAACUUGACUUUCAAGAUUUGCCACUUUCGGCACUUAUUUGUGAAGAACAAAGCACCGAAUUUCUCCUUUCAUUGUUGAUUAGAUCCAAAUCACCUCGGGUAAUUUAGGGUACCCGAAUACCCGAUUCGGGUACCCGAGUCGGGUAUUAGGGUACCCGAUUUCGUAAUCGGGUUCGGGAUCGGGUAUCAUUUUUUAUCAAUUUUCGGGUUCGGGUACCCGAUUUUUUCGGGUAGGGUACCCGAACCCGACCCGAUUCCCACCCCUA